rnacentral:rRNA from 1 species
GACGAACGCUGGCGGCGUGCUUAACACAUGCAAGUCGAACGGAAAGGCCCUGCUUGCAGGGUACUCGAGUGGCGAACGGUUGAGUACCACGUUGGUGAUCUGCCCUGCACUUCGGGAUAAGCCUGGGAAACUGGUUCUAAUACCGGAUCGGAGCCAUUUUUAGUUUGAUUGUUGGAAAGUUUUUUCGGUGUAGGAUGAGCUCGCGGCCUAUCAGCUUGUUGGUGGGGUAAUGGCCUACCAAGGCGGCGGCGGGUAGCCGGCCUGGGAGGGUGGACGGCCACAGUGGGACUGAGAUACGGCCCAGACUCCUACGGGAGGCAGCAGUGGGGAAUAUUGCAAAAUGGGCGCAAGCCUGAUGCAGCGACGCCGAGUGGGGGAUGACGGCCUUCGGGUUGUAAACUCCUUGCGCUAGGGACGAAGCUUUUUGUGACGGUACCUAGAUAAGAAGCACCGGCUAACUACGUG